CCUACGGGGGGCAGCAGUGGGGAAUAUUGCACAAUGGGGGAAACUCUGAUGCAGCAACGCCGCGUGCGUGAAGAAGUAUCUCGGUAUGUAAAGCUCUAUCAGCAGGGAAGUAAAUGACGGUACCUGACUAAGAAGCCCCGGCUAACUACGUGCCAGCAGCCGCGGUACUACGUAGGGGGCAAGCGUUAUCCGGAUGUACGGGGUGUAAAGGGAGCGUAGACGGGGUGGCAAGUCUGAAGUGAAAGCCCGGGGCUCAACCGCGGGACUGCUUUGGAAACUGUCAUGUUGGAGUGCUGGAGAGGUAAGCGGAAUUCCUAGUGUAGCGGUGAAAUGCGUAGAUAUUAGGAAGAACACCAGUGGCGAAGGCGGCUUACUGGACAGUAACUGACGUUGAGGCUCGAAAGCGUGGGGAGCAAACAGGAUUAGAUACCCGGGUAGUC
rnacentral:rRNA from 1 species